GCGAUCAUACCAGCAUUAAUGCACCGGAUCCCAUCAGAACUCCGAAGUUAAGCGUGCUUGGGCGAGAGCAGUACUAUGAUGGGUGACCCCGUGGUAAGUCCUCGUGAUGCACCUU
rnacentral:rRNA from 1 species